UAACUGUUCGAAGAAAAUAAAAAUUAAAUAUAAUAUGAAUAAUUAUUUUACUUUUUAUAAUUACAUACCUAGAAAUUAAGCGACCAGAAUUUAAUCAAUAGAUACGCGACAAAUGUGAUCCUAGCCAGCUAGCCAUAUUCUAUCUUUAUAAUUCGGAACGCAACACUACAACAUUGGCUAAAAUAUUGGAGGAAAUAGACAUAAUUUUAAUCAAAAAUAAUGUGGAGGAAAAUGGAAACCAACCUUUUUUUUAGAGGAAAAUGGACAAUGGAGGAAAACGGUAUCUUGUUUUUGGAGGAAAAUGGCUAUGGCCCUUUAAAGUUAAAGACAAGGCUAGGAAUUCCGAAAAAUUAUAAUGGUCAAAAAUGUACACAUGAAUACAUGAUACCUGAAAAAAUACAAUAAUAUGCUUCUUAAAAUAUGCACUGAACAAAAUGUUGAUGGAUAAGUUAUUUGACGGAAAUAGCUAUUAACUAUCUUAAAAGCAAUGAUAAAUCACAGAAUUCGAUAAAUGAUAAUAUUUGGCUUUCAGAAAAUUAUAAAUUUGAUUUAUUUUACCCACCGAAAUAAUAUUAACAGAAAGACAGUAAAUAUUAUAACCUUUUUAUAUUUAUUCUCUGGCUCUGUAAAAAAUAAAAAGUACUAUAUAACUAUUACGUGCAAAUUAAAAAUAAAA